AAUAAGUUAAAUAAGAGCGCAUGGUGGAUGCCUAGGCUCUCAGAGGCGAAGAAGGACGUGAUAAGCUGCGAAAAGUUGUGGGGAGAAGCACAUAUUUUAUGAUCCGCAAAUAUCCGAAUGGGGCAACCUGGCUACGUGAAGCGUAGUGAUCACGUUUAUACGUGAGGCAAACCUGGUGAACUGAAACAUCUAA
rnacentral:rRNA from 1 species